rfam:Erinaceus europaeus unplaced genomic scaffold scaffold00941, whole genome shotgun sequence
GUGCUCACUUUGGCAGCACAUAUACUAAAAUUGGAACGAUACAGAGAAGAUUAGUAUGGCCCCUGCACAAGUAUGAUGCAAUUCUGAAGGCAUGGAGCCUCAGUGUG